CAGGGCAUAACCUAGCCCAACCUUGCCAAGGUUGGGGUCGAGGGUUCGAAUCCCUUCGCCCGCUCCA
rnacentral:tRNA from 2 species